CUUCCAUUCCCCCAACGCCAAUCCUCCUACUGAUUAAUGAUAAAUUGAUACUGUUAUGUAGGAUUUUGUGAUUUCUUUGCCUAGUGAUGUGCUGCUGGAGAUUGAAUUGCUGCUGUUAAAUUUUUGAAACUUGACAAGUUUGAGGUCUUUGUGGAUUCACUGGAUUGUAAUUUCCCUUUUGUGGAUGAUAAAUUACAAAACUGGUGAACAGAUAUAUAUUAUGGAAUCAAUAAGCAAACUGAAAGCCGGAUGAUAUAUAUUAUUCCAUUCCUUAAUUUAUGACUCUAUCCAGAAUUAAUGGCAUGCAGCAUUAGUAUCAAUAACAUUGUGAUUUAUAGUGGAUUUUCAUGAUUGAUGAUAAGUUUGGAUGUUGGAAUUUUAUGUUUGGUUGUCUUAUUUUGUUAUUUGACUUUUGAGUUUGUACUUGAAUAAGAUCAUAACAUUCUCGUUUAUGUAGUACUUUAAUUUGGAUAAUAUUUUAAGGUUUAUAUUAGACUAUAAUUAUGUUUUAA